GUGUAGGGAGGGCGUUUUCGUGGUUGGGCACAUUUAUGUGCUUUUGCUACGGCGCUUUCUUGUGCGCGGACGUUCGAGGCCAGGAGUUCGAUGGUGCGCUUUGCCCACCACAGCACGUUGUGAGGUCACCCACAGACGCGAGUUGCCGAUUGCGCGUUCGGCUUGCCUGCAUUGUUGUGUCGCAAAAUACGGAGACAGAGCACUCUCGCGAGUUUCCGGGACACUGGCAGCAAGUACCAUAUCGAACAGGGCGGCACCAACUGCGGUCGCGUUCUGGUAUGAUCCUCUAGCGACGAGCUGCUUUCUGGUCAUGUGCUGGAUUUUUGC
rnacentral:rRNA from 1 species